rnacentral:rRNA from 1 species
UACGUAGGGGGCAAGCGUUGUCCGGAUUUAUUGGGCGUAAAGAGCGUGUAGGCGGCCAUACAGGUCAGCUGUGAAAACUCGAGGCUCAACCUCGAGACGUCGGUUGAAACCGUAUGGCUAGAGUCCGGAAGAGGAGAGUGGAAUUCCCGGUGUAGCGGUGAAAUGCGCAGAUAUCGGGAAGAACACCCGUGGCGAAGCGGCUACACUGGACCACAACUGACGCUGAGGCGCGAAAGCUAGGGGAGCAACAGGAUAAGAA